UAAGAUUAAAACGAUAAAACCAAUUUUACAAAUGUAAGCUAUAAUAAAUUGCGACAUGUCAAGGCUGAGUUUAGACUAGCAAGUUAUUGCUGCAAGUUUUGAGAUGCAACUAUAGGUAAGAGAGAGAGGCAAAUAUCUGCAUCUCUUUCUUGCGUAUACUUCUGUCUCAAAACUUGCAGCAAUAACUUGCACGUCUAAACUCAGCUUAAACUCUAUGUUGUACUGUUGUUUAUAGUCUGUGGCAAAUUUGACGCUGCAGCUGUCGUUUUGACAAGACAAUGACAAGUGAAUCAAGCUCAAGCGAAGUGAUGCUAUGUUGUAUCGUAAUAUUAAUUCUACAGUGUAUUCAUUUUAAUGCUCAAUUAAAUUGUACAUAAAUGAACAAUAAAACAGUGUUAAUUUAUUAGUCUCACCAUACAACUUAAGUGUCUUCUAUUUCUGUUUACCAGCAUGGGAGGGUGUCGGUGCACCUACAAGAAUUGUACCGUCAGGUCAGACGGAAAGACUCAUUUGUUUCACUACCCUGUGUUUGACAAGGUCCGUUGCCAUGAGUGGCUGACGAGAGCUGGCCGAUAUGACUUUCUUAACCUAAAGGUCUCGCAACUUAAGAAUCGCUGUAUAUGUCAAUUUCAUUUUGCAGAUGAUCAUUUCAUGAAUGAAAAAAAAGAUAAAUUAAAGUUAAAAGCAAUACCUACCUUGGAUGGUCCCUAUUGCGAUUCUAACAAAUUUAAAGAAGCUACAAUGCCACAGAACAUGUUGGGUGUAUAUCCACUAGCAUGUGAAGUAGUUGAAAACGAUGACUUAUUAUCCGAUAGAAAGUCAAACUAUAAUUUACUUUAUGCAGAUUAUUUGACGAAUGAUCCCAUGGACUAUAAGAUGAUAGAUGUGGAUAGUAAGGACUUGAUAAAUAUAGAGAAUGUGACCCCUCAAACUAAUAAUAAUAUUACAGAAGUGUUUACAUACAGAACUCGAUAUGCAGACAGAUCUAAAAUUAAUCAAAUAGAUGUACCAGAUAAAAAUAUGACUAAGGAUACUAUAGUUGUCGAAAUCCCACCACUCCCAGUUGUUACCAAAGAAGAAUUUCGACUGGAAGAUGAAGUUCCACCCUUACUUAAAAUUGACAACAAAAAGAGUAAAGUAAGAAUAAUAUCAGAAAAAAAAGAUAACAGAACCAGAAAAGAAGAUUAUUGUGCCUGUUUCAACUGCAUCAUUUGAGGUAGUUAAGCCUUCAAUGGUUUUAAGUAUUAAUAGGAAUAAAUCGAAAGAAAAUAACACUACAGUGCCUCAGCCUAAACAGGCACAAGAAACUCAGAAAAUUUUGAAGAAUAUAGAGAAAGAUGUAAAUGUAGUUGAUGAUAUUAUAAUGUCAUUCAACAAUGGCAAAGAAGAAACAAUUGUGCAGAAAAAUAUGCCUGCCUCUUGCAAACAUGUCGAAAGUAAUGUUGCAGAAAUACUUAACACUAGUGAUCCAAGUAAAUUUGAAAUUAUAAUUGACUCGAAUGAACCAAAACCUUUAGAUAAAGCAAAGUCUCCUCAAAAGAGAGAAAAUAAUACAGUUCAUAGUAUCAAAAAUAAAAUGUCCCCAGAAAGAGUAGCUGCAAUUAACGAGAAACGAAAAUUUAACAUGAAACUGAAAGAUAUAAUUGCACAAGAACUAAGCCGAUUAGAAGAACAAGGAUCUGCUGAUAAAGAUAUUCUGGUCCCAAAGAAAACAAGAAAUAACUAUGAUAUUAACUCAGAAAAAGUAAGGACUUCUUUAUCAAAAGACCCAAGUCUUCCAAAUGAACAUGCUUAUAUUGUACACUAUUUAGAGGCAAGAAUGGAAAAAAUGGAAAACUUGUUGUUAAACAAAAUUGAUCAAAACACUAAAA
rnacentral:lncRNA from 1 species